rnacentral:rRNA from 1 species
GACGAACGCUGGCGGCGUGCUUAACACAUGCAAGUCGAACGGUGAAGGGACCAGCUUGCUGGUUCUGGAUGAGUGGCGAACGGGUGAGUAACUCGUGAGUAACCUGCCCCCUUCUUCUGGAUAACCGCAUGAAAGUGUGGCUAAUACGGGAUAUUCUGCGCCUGCUGCAUGGUGGGUGUGGGAAAGAUAUUGUUUCGGUGGGGGAUGGGCUCGCGGCCUAUCAGCUUGUUGGUGGGGUAAUGGCCUACCAAGGCGGCGACGGGUAGCCGGCCUGAGAGGGUGGACGGUCACACUGGGACUGAGACACGGCCCAGACUCCUACGGGAGGCAGCAGUGGGGAAUAUUGCACAAUGGGCGGAAGCCUGAUGCAGCGACGCCGCGUGGGGGAUGACGGCCUUCGGGUUGUAAACUCCUUUCACCAUCGACGAAGGGUUUCUGACGGUAGAUGGAGAAGAAGCACCGGCUAACCACGUGCCAGCAGCCGCGGUAAUACGUAGGGUGCGAGCGUUGUCCGGAAUUACUGGGCGUAAAGAGCUCGUAGGUGGUUUGUCGCGUCGUCUGUGAAAUUCCGGGGCUUAACUCCGGGCGUGCAGGCGAUACGGGCAUAACUUGAGUACUGUAGGGGAGACGGGAAUUCCUGGUGUAGCGGUGAAAUGCGCAGAUAUCAGGAGGAACACCGGUGGCGAAGGCGGGUCUCUGGGCAGUAACUGACGCUGAGGAGCGAAAGCAUGGGGAGCGAACAGGAUUAGAUACCCUGGUAGUCCAUGCCGUAAACGGUGGGCGCUAGGUGUGGGUUUCCUUCCACGGGAUCCGUGCCGUAGCUAACGCAUUAAGCGCCCCGCCUGGGGAGUACGGCCGCAAGGCUAAAACUCAAAGGAAUUGACGGGGGCCCGCACAAGCGGCGGAGCAUGUGGAUUAAUUCGAUGCAACGCGAAGAACCUUACCUGGGCUUGACAUAUACAGGAUCGCGCCAGAGAUGGUGUUUCCCUUGUGGCUUGUAUACAGGUGGUGCAUGGUUGUCGUCAGCUCGUGUCGUGAGAUGUUGGGUUAAGUCCCGCAACGAGCGCAACCCUUGUCUUAUGUUGCCAGCACGUUGUGGUGGGGACUCGUAAGAAACUGCCGGGGUUAACUCGGAGGAAGGUGGGGAUGACGUCAAAUCAUUAUGCCCCUUAUGUCCAGGGCUUCACACAUGCUACAAUGGUCGGUACAGUGGGUUGCCAGUCCGUGAGGGCGAGCUAAUCCCGCAAAGCCGGUCUCAGUUCGGAUCGGGGUCUGCAACUCGACCCCGUGAAGUCGGAGUCGCUAGUAAUCGCAGAUCAGCAACGCUGCGGUGAAUACGUUCCCGGGCCU